AUUGAACGCUGGCGGCAGGCCUAACACAUGCAAGUCGAACGGUAACAGGAAGAAGCUUGCUUCUUUGCUGACGAGUGGCGGACGGGUGAGAAAUGUCUGGGAACUUGCCUGAUGGAGGGGGAUAACUACUGGAAACGGUAGCUAAUACCGCAUAACGUCGCAAGACCAAAGAGGAGGACCUUCGGGCCUCUUGCCAGCGGAUGUGCCCAGAUGGGAUUAGCUAGUAGGUGGGGUAACGGCUCACCUAGGCGACGAUCCCUAGCUGGUCUGAGAGGAUGACCAGCCACACUGGAACUGAGACACGGUCCAGACUCCUACGGGAGGCAGCAGUGGGGAAUAUUGCACAAUGGGCGCAAGCCUGAUGCAGCCAUGCCGCGUGUAUGAAGAAGGCCUUCGGGUUGUAAAGUACUUUCAGCGGGGAGGAAGGGAGUAAAGUGAAUACCUUUGCUCAUUGACGUUACCCGCAGAAGAAGCACCGGCUAACUCCGUG
rnacentral:rRNA from 1 species